UCGGGCAUAAGACUCGUGUUUACAUUAAAAUUUAUUGGAUAUGGAAUAUGGCAGUAAAACAUUACCAAUUAACAGUAUCAAAUAUUUUAAAGUAAGAAAUGGCGCUAAAGAAGAUGCAAGUAAAUAACAAAAUAUAACUGCCAAAAUAAGGUACUGAAAUGUUUAAAACUUCGAUACAAUAUUUGCCAUCUAAAUCAGUCGAAUGAAAAUCAUAUUACUUAUAAGCAUUAUUGUUUAAGCUAAAAGGUAUGUAAAGUAUACAGAAUGUAAGGAUGUAACCAGCGUGCGUAUAGCAUAAUGCAUGUAUGAAUUUGUAUGCAGAUAUACAGUUUCAUACAAUAAUAAUCUGUUUCGCCUUAGUAUUCAACUAUUUAAAGAGAGCAAAUCUCUGAAAUACGACUACGACUACUGAAUACGAUUUAAAUAGUUCUUAGCUUGUUCUGAGCUAAAAGAGUGGAAUGGACAUGAAAGGAACAAAAACAAAAUUAUUUAUUUGAUGGUAACUAAAAAAUGUAAGUCAUUGAUCUCCAUGGUGCUGGCGCUCCACUCUUUUAGAUUUCAACGCAAUAAUAAAAAUAAUUUAGUCUAUGUCUGACAAAAAUAAUUGACUCUUUAAUAUUUAUAGAUAAGAGAUACAGAUAAAUGCAAAAAGCUUUAUUUUUUGGUGUGAUAUUUUUUUUAUUAGCAUAACGGAAAUUCGGCCAAUGAUUAAUUUUAAAAUAUUCCAUAGUAUUUUACUUUAUUUUUUUUGCGUAUUUUUACGCUCACUUAGUUCAUUUAUAUUUGAACAUAAGAAUUUUAUUUUGAUUAUUAUUAAUUUUUACAUGACAUAUUGUAAUCAAGAGAUUAUUUCAAUAAAAAGAUCAUAAAUACUUCAUUAUUUAUUGCAGAUCUAAACAAAUAUAUUAUUAAGCACAUCACAUUUGUUAAACAUAUAAAUAGGAUGUAAAAAUUUAAUCAUAAAGCACUCCAAAUGCACAAUUGAAUGAUUCCACUAGUCAUAAUGUAUUUAUAAAUUAUAUUUACAGUAUUUUUAAUAAUCCUAAUGUUAUUACAAAUUUCGAAUAUGGUUACAUUUUUAUGUAAAGUUCAUAAAAACCAAUAUUACUCAGUAUUUACACAGCCAUAUCAAUUUUGUGUAAAUACAAAAAAUUCGUGUUAUAAUGCUUACAAACUUAUUCAUCAGAAUCAUGCAGCAGCUUACUGCCCUAAAAUAUAUUUCUUGUAGUAAAGAUUAUGUAAAAAUAACAAAUUUGAAAUUUACCCAUAAAAAUAUGGAAACUUAUGUACACCUUAAAUACAUAAGUACUUAUAAGUAUUAUUUUUUUAUGAGUUUAUCAUGUUUGUUAUUUCACAGUAUACUUUGUAGUAUUUAUUUUUUUCCAGUUAUAAAUAUAAUAAUUAUAAUAUAAAUAGGUGCAUAUAAAUAUCUGCAUAAUACUGAUCAUAUUAUAUAAAGUUAAAAAUAGACAAUAUUUAUAAACUUUAAUAGCAAAUCUAGAGAUGUUAUCUGUAGCUAGUCAAACGCAUUUUAUUUUUGCUCUCCUUGUACUAUGUACUUAUAAGAUCCAGUAGUUUUAAGGACAAAUGUCGCUGACUUGAAACACUAUGCCACAUGAGGGUUGUCUUUAAACAUGUUUUUCUCUUCGUCUAUAGAAAUAUGUUCAGAUAACUGGACAUGUUUAAAGACAGUCUCUGAUAUUUGCAGUGCUUAAACAAUGUGUAAGAAAUUGUGUGAAUAGUGUAAAAUAAAGGACAAUUUUGAAA